rnacentral:lncRNA from 1 species
CUCCUCUUUUUCUCUUGAAAAUCUACUUACAUCUUAUGGAUUUUAUCCUUUCAGAUGGAUCAACUAGUGUCCAUACACCAUUGAUCUCCAUGGACUCCAUCUCAGACUUCAUGGCCUCAAGUCAUUUCUAGGAGUCGGACCUUUGCAUAGCUUCCAUAUAGGUGAUCUGAUCUUCAUCGUUCUCAUCAAAUUCGAUGGAAUCACUAUCCCUGAUCAAGAAAUCAUAG